rnacentral:ncRNA from 1 species
UCGGGCCUGACUGCAGUCGCCCGGCUUUUUCCAAGGCAUUUCGCCCAAGUACUGC